rnacentral:misc_RNA from 1 species
AAGUCGUAACAAGGUUUCCGUAGGUGAACCUGCGGAAGGAUCAUUAACACGUAUCCAAACGUUAAAACAACCCUGUGAACCUUCAGCGUGUUCUUGCAGGACAUCAAAACAGCAAUCCCGAGUAAAUCAGGCGCUAAAGAAUUACAGAUUUUGAUUUUGGGAAGUUCUGUGUGUACGUGGACGCUGCAAUUGAGCGCUAGAUAAAGCACCCUGGUACCCUAGAGCACUCCCCUGUCUGAAAGCGGCAGGCGACCGGGGUGGAGGCGAAAGCCCCUAUGUCAUCCCAUGUAUCCUCCGGGACUUGAAGCUGACUCCGUCAUAAAUCGAACAACUGUUAACAAUGGAUAUCUUGGUUCUC